rnacentral:lncRNA from 1 species
AAAGUAGUCACUGACUGACCAUUUGUUAACAUACUGUAAAAAGAAUUCCUGUACUGGCUACAUGUUUGGUAUAAAGUUCCUUCAGGCUUACGUUCUGAACAUACAAACUAUGUCAGUGCCAUGUUCUGGUUGAACUUACAUGAAAGUAAAAGUUAAAAGUAUAGUGAGGGCCUUCAAAAAUCCUCAAGCCAUUCUGGGAUUGGCCUUUAACAGCAACGACUAUUAAAAAAUAUCCCAAAGGUACCAUGUUUGUAACAAAAAUGGUUUGACAAUUUUUGAAUACCAUGACUGCCAAUUAUAUAUACUAUAUGAUGAGUGUGCCAUCUGGUUUUUGUAAUUAGUUGACCUGCAUGGAUUUUAAUCUGUGCUUUAAAAAAUGUAUGAUAAAAAGUAUGAACCAAUGUAGAGAGGGACAGUUAGAUAAGGCCCCCAAAGAGAUUUAGGCCUGGGAUUGGGUGGGAGCAUUCACAGGAAUACAGCCUAGAAUUCUCCAUUGUAGCCACACAUGGAAUCAGCCUUACCUGUGGGACCUUAUGUGCUUUAAGAACGCUGGUACUUUUGGCCACGUAGACAAGUUUAUUUCAACUCAGACUUACUCAAUAUUUAAAUUAUUGUAUAGUCCUGACCCUAUUGUCCAGUUAAUUUAGAUGCCAGAAGUCAAAGCCAGAACUGGGACCCCACAACUCUUAAAUAUUGGUUCCUAUCCUGCCUAUGCCUAUAGCCAGCCACACUGGUUUCAAUGUUCUAUAGUCGUUUUGCUACAAUCAUGUUAGGGUGAAAAUCUGUACGUCAGAACUAAUAAAUGGUAAUUAUUUUUUAAGUGCAUGAGACCUGGGGCCUUCUCUUUCUACUUGCACUCUGCUUAUAAUAGUUUCUAUCUGUAGAUCUCAGGCCUUCAUAAAGAUCUCCAUCAGCUCACAAAAAGUAUUUGUCUCUGUAGAGUGGCAUGUGGCCAUUUGAGUAAAAAUCAAAGUACACGAGGGUUCAGUUCACAGACAUCCUGUCCGUCGAGACAAGUGUUAAUUUUAUUGGCAGGCAUACUGAAGCCCCUUUCUUCUUAGCCAUACAUUUUUUUCCUACCAAAUCACUUCACAAUGUCAAGUGCUUAACAAUAUGUGACAAAACAGUGGUGUUUUAGUGAGUGACACUCAGCGGGUGUUAACGUAGUUUGGGUAAGAGUAAAAACACCAAAAGCUGAUUAGCCAUGGUACCAAGAACUGUGCAUAUGCGUUCAGAAAUAGACUGCAUAUCUAGAAUAUGCAGUGAAAUAUUUUCAAUAGGUGUUUUUUAAUGAACACUAGAUAGUUAAUGAACACUAGAUAUUUAAUGAACACUAAUAUAUGUCUAAUUAGAAGUAUACUGUUUUCAAUAGUCCAUUAAAUAUUAUAUAAAAUAUUUAUUUAAUUUAUCAUCACGCAUUGGCUUUCAAGGGGCUUCAGAUCCCACGUCUUCAGUGGAUUGAUGCAUUUCCGGUGUCUUUGUGCCUGCCUUGGCCAUCUCUACUCUAUCCUGAGGUAUUCCACCAUUCUCUUGUUGCAGGUGCUGCUAAAAAUCUCAAAAAAAAAAUGUGGAUAAGAUAUUUUGUUCCAGUUGUUUGAAAAAAUCAUCUGUGUCAAAGUGAAUAAAAAGUGCAUUUUGAAUAACCAGC